rnacentral:sRNA from 1 species
GCCGGGCGUGGUGGUGCACGCCUAUAAUCCCAGCGGCUCUGGAGGCUGAGACAGGAGGAUUGCAAGAUCAAAGCCAGCCUCAGCAAUGGGAAGGUGCUAGCAACUCAGGGAGACCCUGGCUCUA